GGGGGAUGGCGGUGGUUAUGCGGGGAUAUGGGGGAUAUGGGGGACUCUUUGGGUCCUUAUGGGGUCCCUACGAAUCCCUAUGGGUCCUUUUGGGGUCUCUGUGGGGUCCCUAUGGGUCCCUAUGGGUCCUUUUGGGGUCUCUAUGGCUCCUUAUGGGGUCCUUAUGGGGCCUCUAUGGGGUCCCUAUGGGUCUCUAUGGAUCCCUAUGGGUCCUUAUGGGGUCCCUAUGGGGUCCUUAUGGAUUCCUAUGGGUCCUUUUGGGGUCUCUAUGGCUCCUUAUGGGGCCUCUAUGGGGUCCCUAUGGUUCUCUAUGGAUCCUUAUGGGUCCUUUUGGGGUCUCUAUGGCUCCUUAUGGGGUCUCUAUGGGGUCUCUAUGGCUCCUUAUGGGGCCUCUAUGGGGUCCCCAUGGUUCUCUAUGGAUCCCUAUGGGUCCUUUUGGGGUCUCUAUGGCUCCUUAUGGGGUCCCUAUGGGGUCUGUACGAAUCCCUCCGGCUCCUUAUGGGGGUCCCUCUAAGCACCCCCACUGCCGCGCCCCACAGAUCGCCAGCUAUGGGGUGGACCCCCACUAUUCGUCCCUAUGUGUCUCUAUGGGGUCUCUACGAAUCCCUAUGGAUCCUUAUGGGGUCUCUAUGGGUCUCUAUGGGGUCUCUAUGGGCCCCUAUGGGUCCUUUUGGGGUCUCUAUGGCUCCUUAUGGGGUCUCUAUGGGGUCUCUAUGGGUCCCUAUGGGUCCCUAGGGGUCUCUAUGGGGUCCCUAUGGGUCCCUAUGGGUCCUUUUGGGGUCUCUGUGGGGUCCCUAUGGAUCCCUAUGGGUCCUUUUGGGGUCUCUAUGGGUCUCUAUGGGGCCUCUAUGGGGUCCCUAUGGGUCUCUAUGGGUCUCUAUGGGUCCUUAUGGGGUCCCUAUGGGGUCCUUAUGGAUCCCUAUGGGUCCUUUUGGGGUCUCUAUGGCUCCUUAUGGGGCCUCUAUGGGGUCUCUAUGGGGUCCCUAUGGGUCCCGAUGGGUCCCUAUGGGUCCUUUUGGGGUCUCUAUGGUUCCUUAUGGGGUCUCUAUGGGGUCUCUAUGGCUCUCUAUGGUUCCUAUUGGGGUCUCUGUGGGUCUCUAUGGGUCCCAAUGGAUCCCUAUGGGGUCUCUAUGGGGUCCCUAUGCGUCCCUAUGGGGUCCCUAUGGGUCCCUAUGGGUCCUUUUGGGGUCUCUGUGGGUCCCUAUGGGUCCCUAUGGGUCCCUAUGGGUCUCUAUGGGUCCCUAUGGCUCCUUAUGGGGCCUCUAUGGGGUCUCUAUGGGGUCCCUAUGGUUCUCUAUGGGUCCCUAUGGGUCUCUAUGGGUCCCUAUGGGUCCUUUUGGGGUCUCUAUGGGUCUCUAUGGGUCCUUAUGGGGUCCCUAUGGGGUCUCUAUGGGUCUCUAUGGGUUUCUAUGCGUCCCUAUGGCUCCUUAUGGGGUCUCUAUGGGGUCUCUAUGGGUCCCUAUGGGGCGCUAUGGGGCGCUAUGGGUCCCUAUGUGGCACUAUGGGGUCUCUAUGCGUCCCUAUGGGUCUCUAUGGGUUGCUAUGGGUCUCUAUGGGUCCCUAUGGGGCGCUAUGGGUCCCUAUGGGGCACUGUGGGUCCCUAUGGGUCCCUAUGGGGGGCUAUGGGUUGCUAUGGGGCGCUAUGGGGCGCUAUGGGGUCACUAUGGGUUUCUAUGGUUCCCUAUGGGUCCCUAUGGGGCGCUUUGGGGUGCUAUGGGGCACUGUGGGGUCUCUAUGUGUCCCUAUGGGUUUCUAUGGGUCUCUAUGGGUCCCUAUGGGGCGCUAUGGGGCGAUAUGGGUCCCUAUGGGGCACUGUGGGUCACUAUGGGUCCCUAUGGGGCGCUAUGGGGCGCUAUGGGGUUUCUAUGGUUCCCUAUGGGUCCCUAUUAGUCUCUAUGGGUUUCUAUGGGCCUCUAUGGGUCCCUAUGGGGCACUAUGGGGUCUCUAUGGGUCCCUUUGGGGCGCUAUGGGGUGCUAUGGGUCUCUAUGGGUCCCUAUGGGGCGCUAUAGGUCCCUAUGGGGCACUGUGGGUCCCUAUGGGNNNNNNNNNNNNNNUGCUAUGGGGUGCUAUGGGGCGCUAUGGGGCGCUAUGGGGCACUAUGGGGUCUCUAUGAGUCCCUAUGGGUCUCUAUGGGUUUCUAUGGGUCUCUAUGUGUCCCUAUGGGGUGCUAUGGGUCUCUAUGGGUCUCUAUGGGUCUCUAUGGGUUUCUAUGGGUCUCUAUGUGUCCCCAUGGGGCGCUAUGGGGCGCUAUGGGGCACUGUGGGUCCUUAUGGGGCGCUAUGGGGCGCUAUGGGUCUCUAUGGGGCGCUAUGGGGCGCUAUGGGUCCCCAUGGGGCACUGUGGGUCACUAUGGGUCCCUAUGGGGCACUAUGGGUCCCUAUGGCGCGCUAUGGGGCACUAUGGGGUCUCUAUGCGUCCCUAUGGGGCGCUAUGGGUUUCUAUGUGUCCCUAUGGGUCCCUAUGGGUCCCUAUGGGUCCCUAUGAGUCUCUAUGGGUCUCUAUGUGUCCCCAUGUGUCUCUAUGGGUCUCUAUGGUUUCUAUGUGUCCCCAUGUGUCCCUAUGUGUCCCUAUGUGUCCCUGUGGGUCCCUAUGGGUCCCUAUGGGUCUCUAUGUGUCCCUAUGUGUCCCUAUGCAUCCCUAUGUGUCCCCAUGUGUCCCCAUGUGUCCCUAUGGUCUCUAUGUGUCCCCAUGUGUCCCCAUGUGUCCCUAUGGUCCCUAUGUGUCCCUAUGGGUCUCUGUGGGUCCCUAUGGGUCUCUAUGGGUCUCUAUGGGUCCCUUUGGUCCCCAUGUGUCCCUAUGUGUCCCUAUGGGUCCCCAUGUGUCCCUAUUGGUCUCUAUGGGUCUCUAUGUGUCCCUAUGGGUCUCUAUGGGUCUCU
ensembl:lncRNA